GAUCAAGAUAAAGUAGGCUACAUCCUGCUGGUCAGACCAAAAUAAAGUACAUCCUGCUGAUUCACAGACCAAGAUAAAGAACAUCCUGCUGAUUCACAGACCAAGAUAAAAGUUCCUCCUGCUGAUUUACAGACACUUGUAUGGGCUGCUACUUGUGAUUAAGAACUGACUUCAAAUGAUAGCAAGAGGAUGAUUUAAGCAUACAUAACUAAACUGGAAGAACAGAUGAAGUCCAAAACGCUAAAGCAACAGACAACCCAGGUUCACUUAAACACUUUGAAGUGCUGGGAAUCAAUGUCCAAGGACUUUUUUGGGGGCACAUUUCAGCUGGGCUAAAUCCAGUACAUUGCUGAGGUGAAGAUAGAGAGUAAGCUACAUCCUAUUGCUCUAGAAAAAGAACAGUCUACAGAUGAAUGGAACAAGCUCCUUUGGGCUUGAAAACUCCAUAUAUCAAAAAAUAUGCAGCAAGUCAGUCUCAAGUUAUUGGAAUAGAUCAAAUAGUGGAGCAUACAGAUGGAGUAACAGGCAAGUAGUAGUGAUAUCAAGAACUGUGAAAUCAAGUUGCAGAGCACAAUCGAUCUUUAGCAUACAGUUGAAUGGAACAAUUAUCUACUUAGAACAUUCAAACUAUAGAAGCUACAUGUCCACAAGUUGUUGUUUUUUUUUCCUUUAA